CUGGCCGAAGAGAGAAAACAGUUCAGCAGUUUCGGGACCAGCUGGACCAAGCCAAGACUCCUCGUCCAUCCCUUUGCGUGGUACCUGGGUACUGGUAGAUCAACCUUAUCUAGUACACUGGACGGGCUUUGUAUUUGAAUCAAUCAAGCGUUGCCUUGUUCGCCUGGGAGGGCUUCUGCUGUCGAAGCACGUACUUGUGCGGAUGCGAAUUACUCUCGGCGGUGCGGUCGCGAACGGCGUUG